UACGUAGGUGGCAAGCGUUGUCCGGAAUUAUUGGGCGUAAAGGGCGUGUAGGUGGAUUUUUAAGUCGUGUGUCUAAGUGCGAAGCUCAACUUCGUAUAGGCGCAGGAAACUGGGAAUCUUGAGUGCAGGAGAGGAAAGUGGAAUUCCCAGUGUAGCGGUGAAAUGCGUAGAUAUUGGGAGGAACACCAGUGGCGAAGGCGACUUUCUGGACUGUGUCUGACACUGAGGCGCGAAAGCUAGGGGAGCGAACGAG
rnacentral:rRNA from 1 species